GACGAACGCUGGCGGCGUGCCUAAUACAUGCAAGUAGAACGCUGAAGAGAGGAGCUUACUCUUCUUGGAUGAGUUGCGAACGGGUGAGUAACGCGUAGGUAACCUGCCUUGUAGCGGGGGAUAACUAUUGGAAACGAUAGCUAAUACCGCAUAACAAUGGAUGGCACAUGUCAUUUAUUUGAAAGGGGCAAUUGCUCCACUACAAGAUGGACCUGCGUUGUAUUAGCUAGUAGGUGAGGUAAUGGCUCACCUAGGCGACGAUACAUAGCCGACCUGAGAGGGUGAUCGGCCACACUGGGACUGAGACACGGCCCAGAAUCCUACGGGAGGCAGCAGUAGGGAAUCUUCGGCAAUGGGGGCAACCCUGACCGAGCAACGCCGCGUGAGUGAAGAAGGUUUUCGGAUCGUAAAGCUCUGUUGUAAGUCAAGAACGGGUGUGAGAGUGGAAAGUUCACACUGUGACGGUAGCUUACCAGAAAGAGACGGCUAACUACGUG
rnacentral:rRNA from 1 species